UAGGCGGUAGUAUAAUGUGGUAGUACGUGAGGUUUUGGGCCUUGUGGUGCGGGUUCGUGGCCCGUUUGCCUAG
rnacentral:tRNA from 1 species